rfam:Pseudogymnoascus pannorum VKM F-4515 (FW-2607) contig_515, whole genome shotgun sequence.
GGCCUGAUAGUUCAGUGGUAGAAUUCUUGCUUUGGGAGCUCAGGCAUUCAAAUUGUAAGAGGUCUCCGGUUCGAUCCCGGAUUAGGCCC